UACGAAGGGGGCUAGCGUUGUUCGGAAUUACUGGGCGUAAAGCGCGCGCAGGCGGUUUUUCAAGUCAGUGGUGAAAGCCCGGAGCUCAACUCCGGAACUGCCAUUGAAACUGUAAAACUUGAGGACGAGAGAGGUGAGUGGAAUUCCCAGUGUAGAGGUGAAAUUCGUAGAUAUGUGGAGGAACACCGAUGGCGAAGGCAGCCUCCUGGGCCAGCACUGACGCUCAUGCACGAAAGCGUGGGGAGCAAACAGG
rnacentral:rRNA from 1 species